UACGUAGGGGGCUAGCGUUGUCCGGAAUCAUUGGGCGUAAAGGGUGCGUAGGCGGGUCUUUAAGUCAGGGGUGAAAUCCUGGAGCUCAACUCCAGAACUGCCUUUGAUACUGAGGAUCUUGAGUUCGGGAGAGGUGAGUGGAACUGCGAGUGUAGAGGUGAAAUUCGUAGAUAUUCGCAAGAACACCAGUGGCGAAGGCGGCUCACUGGCCCGAUACUGACGCUGAGGCACGAAAGCGUGGGGGAGCCAAACAGGA
rnacentral:rRNA from 1 species